ACGUCAGGCGUGGCAGGGAUUGAUCGGAGCUACUCUGUCGUUAUGAGUCUGCAGGCGUAUAGAUUAAGUUCGGGAUGUGACAGCCCCAGGUUCAAGCGAGGGGAACGGCACUUGAAAUCUGUCCAGCUUAGAGUUCUAGUAUGAGCGGGGUGUAGGAACUUGCAGGGGGUAGGCGGGUGAACUGCCGUAGAGAUCUGGAGGAAUAUCCUGGUGGCGGAAGGGGCGACCCCCCUGGACAUAAGACUGACGCUUCAGAUGCGAAAGCGUGGGGGAGCAAAACAAGAUUUAGAUACCCUGGUAGUCCACGCCGUCAAGGAUGUCCGAUUCGGAGUUUGUGUCUUUGAGACGUGGCUUGUGGAGUUAACCGCCUUAUAAUCGACCGCCUGGGGAGUACGGCCCCAAGGUUAAAACUCAAAUGAAUUGAUGGGGGGCCCGCACAAACGGUGGAGCCUGUGGUUUAAUUUGAUGCAACCCGAAGAACCUUACCCGGCCUUGACAACUCUGGAAUACUGCAGAGAUUCGGGAGUGCCUUCGGGAAUCAGAACACCGGUGGUGCAUGGCUGUUGUCAGCUUGUGUUGUGAGAUGUUGGGUUAAGUCCCGCAACGAGGGCAACCCCUGUCUUUUGUUGCCCGCCCGUAAUGGUGGGAACUCAAGGGAGACUGCCGGUGAUAAACCGGAGGAAGGUGGGGAUGACGUCAAGUCAUCAUGGCCCUUACGCCCAGGGUUCCCCACUUGUUCCAAUGGCGCGUACAGAGGGUUGCAAGCUAGCGAUAGUGAGCGAUUCCCAAAAAGCGCGUCGUAGUCCGGAUCCGAUUUUGCAAUUGGAUUCCGUGAAGUCGGAAUCGCUAGUAAUCGCAAAUCAGAAUGUUGCGGUGAAUACGUUCCCGGCCCUUGUACACACCCCCCGUCACACCAUGGGAUUGGGUUCCACCAAAAGUAGAUAGGUUACCCUUAGGGAGCGCGCGCCGACCUACGGUGUGAUACAUGACUGGGGGUGCU
rnacentral:rRNA from 1 species